rnacentral:lncRNA from 1 species
GGAGGAAAUAGCAUGCACAAAGGCUGGAAGCAGGAACAGCAAGAGGUUCAUCUCCACUAGAAGAUGUCCCCUUCUGGGAGAUGCCCCCAGACUACCUUACCUGUUGGAACUGGGUGUCCCUGACUCUCUGCCCCUCCAGCCUGUGCACUCCAGGAGGACAGCCCUGACUGGACACUCCCUCCCAAGCCUCCCCAGCUGUUGCCAGCCCUUCUCUUCCAUUUCCCCUGCCCCACCCAGGUAACCUACAGGUGCAUCGCAGUCCCUUCAGAAAGGGAGCUCCGGGCUCCUUCCCACAACAUGCUGCUUUCCUCGGGCUGGCAUGGGUGGGAGCCCAGCUGGUGUCAGGGAUGGGAGGGGGUCAAAACCCAAAGGUCUCCUGACCUCUCAGGCCUGGGGUAGUUGAGAGCAGGGACUCUCAAGGCAGCCAGACCUGUGCCCAGACCCCAGUGGGGCCCCUUCCUGACACAUGGCUUUGCAGUUCUCUGUCUUGGCUUCCUCAUCUGUCCAUGUGGGAUAAUCCAG